rnacentral:rRNA from 1 species
AUUGAACGCUGGCGGCAGGCCUAACACAUGCAAGUCGAGCGGUAGCACAGAGAGCUUGCUCUCGGGUGACGAGCGGCGGACGGGUGAGUAAUGUCUGGGAAACUGCCUGAUGGAGGGGGAUAACUACUGGAAACGGUAGCUAAUACCGCAUAACGUCGCAAGACCAAGUGGGGGACCUUCGGGCCUCAUGCCAUCAGAUGUGCCCAGAUGGGAUUAGCUAGUAGGUGGGGUAAUGGCUCACCUAGGCGACGAUCCCUAGCUGGUCUGAGAGGAUGACCAGCCACACUGGAACUGAGACACGGUCCAGACUCCUACGGGAGGCAGCAGUGGGGAAUAUUGCACAAUGGGCGCAAGCCUGAUGCAGCCAUGCCGCGUGUAUGAAGAAGGCCUUCGGGUUGUAAAGUACUUUCAGCGAGGAGGAAGGCGUUAAGGUUAAUAACCUUAGCGAUUGACGUUACUCGCAGAAGAAGCACCGGCUAACUCCGUGCCAGCCGCCGCCGUAA